ensembl:lncRNA
CUAGAAUAAUCAUUCCAGCUGACUAGGUCAACAAUAGCAUUGUCUUUUUUUUUUUCUUUCAGAAAAGAAGAAAUGGUAUCAUAGGGAAAAUUAGAAUGAAAAGCGCAGUCUGAUCAGGCCGGUGAAAAUAAAGAGAUGAAUGUGGCAGAAAUGAAAUUAAAGGAGUAAAAAUGAGAUUAACGGUCAAAGGUGUCAAAACUUCAGUUAAUGAAAAAUAUCUUUCGACUUCUCUAAUUACUUGUCUCCUCAAGCAGGUAACGGCAGGUGAGAGAUUAAAUGAGAUUCCUGGCUUGAAUGGAUCCUUGUAGCACUCCUGAUAUUUCAGUCUUCUAGCAUUUUGGAAUGUUAGAAAAUUGUACAGUUUUUCCACAUUUAUGUAGAGUUGUAGGGCACAUUUGUAUAUUUUUCUUAAUCAUUUUGUAUUGUAUGUGUUUGUGUGAAUGUGUGUACGUGUCACUUUCUCUUGCUCUCUCCAUCUUUAGUGUGUGAAUUAUGCAUGUGGCAGUAGCCUGUCAGCACCGUCGCUGUGAAUUAACUGAGCACGUCGUAGCUUUCGUUAUAAAUCCCACUGCCUGGUUUUGUACCCAUUUUCCCAACAUUCUGUAUACCUGUGCGAUGACGGAUUAGCACGCAGCUCAGAUUAAUGUCACUGCCUGCACCAAGUUCACUAGCCAUGUGAAGCUAGUAGGUAGGGGGGUAGCUGUCUGAACCCCAGGGCCUUGGAUUGAGAGACCACGAUUUUUUUUCCCCUUCAUUUUUUGAGAGACAGGCUCACCCCUUCUGUAUGGUAAUCCUCUGGUGGGGUCACCACAGGCUAGGCGGCUGACUGUUCCCCCAUUACGGGCCCCAUUUGUAUAUCAGGUUGUAAUUACACUGCGCCUGCCCUCAGGCCUACAUUGACCGAUCUCACCUUUCAGAAAUAUACGAUUCAAACACAAUAUAAUUAUGGCUGUAUUAAAUGACUAAUGAAUUCACACGCUGCUAAGUUCACUCCUCCACCAUCAUUUGUAAAUAUUUCCACAUAAUUGUCUUAUAAUUUAUUAUUCCGAAGCCGAUAUGAAAUAAGCGAAGGUUUACAUCUUAAAGGCCUCCAUUUUUUCCCUCGUAGCCUCGUAACUCACUGACACAGACGCGAAAACAUCUUGUCCCAAAACCCUUCUGUAGUUACUGAAAUUUCCACGCUUAUCA